rnacentral:rRNA from 1 species
GCAUAUCAAUAAGCGGAGGAAAAGAAACCAACAGGGAUUGCCCUAGUAACGGCGAGUGAAGCGGCAACAGCUCAAAUUUGAAAUCUGGCUUCGGCCCGAGUUUGUAAUUUGCAGAGGAAGCUUUAGGCGCGGCACCUCCUGAGUCCCCUGGAACGGGGCGCCACAGAGGGUGAGAGCCCCGUAUAGUUGGAUGCCUAGCCUGUGUAAAGCUCCUUCGACGAGUCGAGUAGUUUGGGAAUGCUGCUCAAAAUGGGAGGUAAAUUUCUUCUAAAGCUAAAUACCGGCCAGAGACCGAUAGCGCACAAGUAGAGUGAUCGAAAGAUGAAAAGCACUUUGAAAAGAGGGUUAAAUAGCACGUGAAAUUGUUGAAAGGGAAGCGCUUGUGACCAGACUUGCGCCGGGCUGAUCAUCCGGUGUUCUCACCGGUGCACUCUGCCCGGCUCAGGCCAGCAUCGGUUCUCGCGGGGGGAUAAAGGCCCUGGGAACGUAGCUCCUCCGGGAGUGUUAUAGCCCGGGGCGCAAUGCCCUCGCGGGGACCGAGGUUCGCGCUCUGCAAGGAUGCUGGCGUAAUGGUCAUCAGCGACCCGUCUUGAAACACGGACCAAGGAGUCAAGGUUUUGCGCGAGUGUUUGGGUGUAAAACCCGCACGCGUAAUGAAAGUGAACGUAGGUGAGAGCUUCGGCGCAUCAUCGACCGAUCCUGAUGUUCUCGGAUGGAUUUGAGUAGGAGCGUUAAGCCUUGGACCCGAAAGAUGGUGAACUAUGCUUGGAUAGGGUGAAGCCAGAGGAAACUACUGGUGGAGGCUCGCAGCGGUUCUGACGUGCAAAUCGAUCGUCAAAUCUGAGCAUGGGGGGCGAAAGACUAAUCGAACCAUCUAGUAGCUGGUUACCGCCGAAG